GGCCGCAUAGCUCAGUCGGUUAGAGCAUCGUGCUAAUACCGCGAGUGUCGACAGUUCGAGCCUGUCUGUGGUCA